AUUGAACGCUGGCGGCAUGCCUUACACAUGCAAGUCGAACGGCAGCACGGGAGCAAUCCUGGUGGCGAGUGGCGAACGGGUGAGUAAUAUAUCGGAACGUGCCCAGUCGUGGGGGAUAACGUAGCGAAAGCUACGCUAAUACCGCAUACGAUCUGUGGAUGAAAGCGGGGGAACGCAAGACCUCGCGCGACUGGAGCGGCCGAUAUCAGAUUAGGUAAUUGGUGAGGUAAAGGCUCACCAAGCCGACGAUCUGUAGCUGGUCUGAGAGGACGACCAGCCACACUGGGACUGAGACACGGCCCAGACUCCUACGGGAGGCAGCAGUGGGGAAUUUUGGACAAUGGGCGCAAGCCUGAUCCAGCAAUGCCGCGUGCAGGAUGAAGGCCUUCGGGUUGUAAACUGCUUUUGUACGGAGCGAAAAGGCUUCCACUAAUACUGGGGGCUCAUGACGGUACCGUAAGAAUAAGCACCGGCUAACUACGUGCCAGCAGCCGCGGUAAUAC
rnacentral:rRNA from 1 species